GACGAACGCUGGCGGCGUGCCUAAUACAUGCAAGUCGAACGCUUCUUUCCUCCCGAGUGCUUGCACUCAAUUGGAAAGAGGAGUGGCGGACGGGUGAGUAACACGUGGGUAACCUACCCAUCAGAGGGGGAUAACACUUGGAAACAGGUGCUAAUACCGCAUAACAGUUUAUGCCGCAUGGCAUAAGAGUGAAAGGCGCUUUCGGGUGUCGUUGAUGGAUGGACCCGCGGUGCAUUAGCUAGUUGGUGAGGUAACGGCUCACCAAGGCCACGAUGCAUAGCCGACCUGAGAGGGUGAUCGGCCACACUGGGACUGAGACACGGCCCAGACUCCUACGGGAGGCAGCAGUAGGGAAUCUUCGGCAAUGGACGAAAGUCUGACCGAGCAACGCCGCGUGAGUGAAGAAGGUGUUCGGAUCGUAAAACUCUGUUGUUAGAGAAGAACAAGGACGUUAGCAACUGAACGUCCCCUGACGGUAUCUAACCAGAAAGCCACGGCUAACUACGUG
rnacentral:rRNA from 1 species